UUGAACUGAAGAGUUUGAUCAUGGCUCAGAUUGAACGCUGGCGGCAGGCCUAACACAUGCAAGUCGAGCGGCAGCACGGGUACUUGUACCUGGUGGCGAGCGGCGGACGGGUGAGUAAUGCCUAGGAAUCUGCCUGGUAGUGGGGGAUAACGCUCGGAAACGGACGCUAAUACCGCAUACGUC
rnacentral:rRNA from 1 species